AACGAACGCUGGCGGCGCGUAUUAAGCAUGCAAGCCGAACGGGAACCUUCCCGCAAGGGGAGGGGAGAGUGGCGAACGGGUGAGUAACACGUAGGUGAUCUAUCCCCGGGUGGGGUAUAGCCCAUGGAAACAUGGGGUAAUACCGCAUGAGGUCCUGGAGCUUGAAGGCUUCUGGAUGAAAGGCGCAAUUGUGUUGCCUGGGGAUGAGCCUGCGGCUCAUUAGCUAGUUGGUGAGGGUAAAGGCCCACCAAGGCGGCGAUGGGUAGCCGGCCUGAGAGGGUGUACGGCCACACUGGGACUGAGACACGGCCCAGACUCCUACGGGAGGCAGCAGUGGGGAAUCUUGCGCGAUGCGCGAAAGCGUGACGCAGCAACGCCGCGUGGGGGAAGAAGGCCUUCGGGUUGUAAACCCCUUUCAGUUGGGACGAAGCUUCGCCGGUGAAUAGCCGGCCGGAGUGACGGUACCUUCAGAAGAAGCCCCGGCUAACUACGUGCCAGCAGCCGCCGUAAAAC
rnacentral:rRNA from 1 species